GACGAACGCUGGCGGCGUGCCUAAUACAUGCAAGUAGAACGCACAGUUUAUACCGUAGCUUGCUACACCAUAAACUGUGGGUUGCGAACGGGUGAGUAACGCGUAGGUAACCUGCCUGGUAGCGGGGGAUAACUAUUGGAAACGAUAGCUAAUACCGCAUAAUAUUGAUUAUUGCAUGAUAAUUGAUUGAAAGAUGCUAUUGCAUCACUACCAGAUGGACCUGCGUUGUAUUAGCUAGUAGGUGAGGUAACGGCUCACCUAGGCGAGGAUACAUAGCCGACCUGAGAGGGUGAUCGGCCACACUGGGACUGAGACACGGCCCAGACUCCUACGGGAGGCAGCAGUAGGGAAUCUUCGGCAAUGGACGAAAGUCUGACCGAGCAACGCCGCGGGAGUGAAGAAGGUUUUCGGAUCGUAAAGCUCUGUUGUAAGAGAAGAACGGGUGUGAGAGUGGAAAGUUCACACUGUGACGGUAUCUUACCAGAAAGGGACGGCUAACUACGUG
rnacentral:rRNA from 1 species